rnacentral:rRNA from 1 species
UGCNNNUCNAGCGACNNGGCNUCUCUUGCUUGCAANAGUUGCUGGAGGAGCGGCANACGGGGUAGUUAGGCGUCGGUUACNUACCCUCAGGACCGGGAUAGCCGCGGGAAACCGCGUGUAAUACCGGAUAACAUCUUCGGAUCAAAUGGUGUGAUUCCGCCUGGGGAGCGGCUGACGUGGUAUUAGCUUGUUGGUGAGGUAACGGCUCACCAAGGCAACGAUGCCUANGGGGUGUGAGAGCAUGGCCCCCACCACUGGGACUGANACACUGCCCANACNCCUACGGGUGGCUGCAGUCGAGAAUCUUCCGCAAUGGGCGCAAGCCUGACGGAGCGACGCCGCGUGCGGGACGAAGGCCCUUGGGUUGUAAACCGCUGUCGGAGGGGAUGAAAUGCGGGAAGGCUAUCCUUCUCGUUUGACAGAGCCUCAAAGGAAGCCCGGGCUAAGUACGUGCCAGCAGCCGCGGUAACNCGUACUGGGCGAACGUUAUUCGGAAUCACUGGGUUUAAAGGGUGCGUAGGCGGCUAAGCCAGUCGGAUGUGAAAGGCUAGGGCUCAACCUUAGCAUUGCGUUCGAAACUGCUUGGCUUGAGCAAGAUAGGGGUGUGCGGAACUUCCAGUGGAGCGGUGAAAUGUGUUGAUAUUGGAAGGAACGCCGGUAGCGAAAGCGGCACACUGGGUCUUGUCUGACGCUGANGCACGAAAGCCAGGGGAGCGAACGGGAUUAGAUACCCCGGUAGUCCUGGCUGUAAACGAUGAGCACUANUCGGGAGGGGUCUUGCNCCCAUCCGGACNCANCGAANNCAUGAAGUGCUCCGCCUGGGGAGUAUGGUCGCAAGG